UACGUAGGUGGCAAGCGUUGUCCGGAUUUACUGGGCGUAAAGAGCGCGCAGGCGGUCGAAUAAGUCGAAUGUGAAAGCCCCCGGCUCAACUGGGGAGGGUCACGCGAUACUGCUCGACUCGAAGGCAGGAGAGGGAAGUGGAAUUCCAGGUGUAGCGGUGAAAUGCGUAGAUAUCUGGAGGAACACCCGUGGCGAAGGCGGCUUCCUGGCCAUAUCCUGACGCUGAGGUGCGAAAGCUAGGGGAGCGAACGGG
rnacentral:rRNA from 1 species